rnacentral:rRNA from 1 species
CCCCAUGACGCUGGCGGAAUGCUUUACACAUCGCAGUCCAACGGCAGCACGGACUUCGGUCCUGGUGGCGAGUGGCGAACGGGUGAGUAAUACAUCGGAACGUGCCCAGUCGUGGGUGGAUAACGUAGCGAAAGCUACGCUAAUACCGCAUACGAUCUAAGGAUGAAAGCGGGGGAUCGCAAGACCUCGCGCGAUUGGAGCGGCCGAUGGCAGAUUAGUGUAGUUGGUAGGGUAAAGGCCUACCAAGCCGACGAUCUGUAGCUGGUCUGAGAGGACGACCAGCCACACUGGGACUGAGACACGGACCCAGACUCCUACGGGAGGCAGCAGUGGGGAAUUAUUGGACAAUGGGCGAAAGCCUGAUCCAGCCAUUCCGCGUGCAGGAUGAAGGCCCUCGGGUUGUAAACUGCUUUUGUACGGAACGAAAAGGUCCUGGUUAAUACCUGGGGCUCAUGACGGUACCGUAAGAAUAAGCACCGGCUAACUACGUGCCAGCAGCACGCGGAUAAUACGUAGGGUGCAAGCGUAUAAUCGGAAUUACUGGGCGUAAAGCGUGCGCAGGCGGUGAUGUAAGACAGAG